AGUAAGAGUAUCAAUGCUUAACAUUCUGUAAUUUUAGUUAUUUAUUAAGUAGUUAAAUUUAUGUUUAUCGACAAUGUAUAUAAAUAUGGUGGCAAUUUAAAAACCAAAAAAGGAUUGUUAAACCAAAAAGAUUUUCAUAUCAAUCAUCACAGAAAUAUAAGAAAAAGAACUCCUGUGGUUAGUGCGGUACCUGGAGCCGUGCUGGUCCUGCGAGAACUCUACGAUGUGGUUGGCGAGGUCGCGCAGCUGCAGGUUCGGGAAGCGGUUGUUGCGGAAGUCCUCGAGCAGACGCGAGCGCCCCGCGGCCGGCUUGUCGCCCACCAGCGCGCCCACGCCUCCGCUCACCAGCUCUGUGUGCAAACGCUCACAUGUUACUACUGCUUUCACACUAUACCUUUGUAUGAGCAACGACUAACUUUCUUCGAAACUUAUUCGCUCAGUACAUCAUAAUUUGCUUAUUAUAUUCAUGAUUAUGCAAAUCAUUAAUUAGUUAAAAGAUUAAAUAUUUACAUGAAGAAGCUGCGGUAGACUGGCCUCCAUAAUUAAAAUAUACAUUUUAUGCAACAAUCAUAUUUACAAGUCGUGUAUAUGUAUAUGUACAUGACAACGGUGACAUAGGGGCACCACCGCUAACGAUACCGACCUGAGAUAGUUCCAACUCCACCGAGUUUGCUGAGUAGCGAUGAAGACGAACCAAACAUUCCAUUAGAGGUGAGUCCCUGGGCUAAACUGCUCACAGCUCUGAAAGGAAAACGAUAAAAUACCUUCAGGAACGCAAACCAGACGAGUAAAUUUUAGAAUGAACAAAUAGACAAGCUCGAACGGCAACAGGAUUAAUAAUGUACAGAAGCGCAGAUAUGUACAGUGUGCGCGCGCGAACAGACCUGUACUUGGCGGUCUCGGCGCCGGGCGCGGCGGACACGGGCCGCAGCCCCACGGGCCCCAGCGCGGCGCCCAGCGGCGGGGACAGCGGCGAGGGGCCCCACUUGCGUGCGUACUCGUGCAGGGCGCCGCCGCCGCCGAACUCCAGCGAGUCCCGCCGCGCGCCGCUCGCGCCGCCUGUAACACGACAUACCUCCGCGCUCCAACACUCUGCUCCUCCACUCUCCUCUACGUUCUGUACACGACUCGCGAACUCGGAGGCCUCGCGGGCGAGUGGCGACAUCGAUAUGUACAAAACUUUACACUCUUCCACGUUUACUCAUACCGGUAUUACCUACUAGGUGCGUACUGAUCAUCAAAUGUGUUUUUAAAUAGUGUCUGCCACAGUAAACAUGUAUAUUUGUGGAAGUAAUAAAUUGUUCGGAUUUACUAUACAGAUUUGAAUGUGUUAUCAUCAUCUAAGUUCACAUAUUAUUCGUCUUAUUGGGUUAACAGCUUUGUGGAAUAGUCGCUAUCGGUAGCUGAUGUUUUAGAAUACUAUAAACCUACAAGGAACCAAAAAGCACAAAUUCUAAUUUUUUUCUUAGAAUGAGAAAAAUGUGUCUAGUAUGGCAUGGAAUUAAAUUUAUAUUUAUUGCUAACCUCCAACAAACAGACUAAUAAAACAAAAGCGAUGGAGACCAAAUUAAAUAGAUUCCAUUCUUCUCUAAGCUUCACAUAAUAUUACUUUAUUAAAAUAAAGUUCAGUGUUUUUUGAGGGCCUAAAUAUUUUCAAAAAUAUUAUAUUUUAUAUAAAAACGCUAUUACUUUGUGGAUUGUAUAUUUGUAUUCACAUUAUUCUAUAUUUUUCUUUAAUGAGUAAUACUGUAUUCUUUCAAAUAUACAGACAUGUUUGCCAGUGCCAAAACCAGACGGACAUACAUGUUUACUAGAGUCAAACAGAAAUUUUGAAUAAAGUCAAUAAAAAAACCGGUUAAGUAAUUUUAAAAAUAGGAUUUAGAUUGUAAAAUAUUAUAAAAGAAAAAAAAAGGCUUUAUCUAGAGACCUUUUGUUACUACCACUAAUGUACGCACCUUAUGUUUACUAGCUGUACCUAAUAUUUUAUUGAUGGAGUGAUUUUUUUUCUACUUAAUAAAAGUAAAGUAAAUCUUCAAAAUUUUUAUGUACAUUACUGUUACUCGUAUAUACAUAGUACAUAAACUAAUACAUUUAAAAAAUAUUAUGAGCAUAUGUAAAUUUUUAUGUUUUGCCGUCUACAUUUACAUUUGCCGCCGUCACUUGCAGUGAGAAUAUUAUAUAAUAAAAUGUAUAUGAGACACUUGUUAUUUUAAAAGAAGCAUAAGAUGAAAAGGUCACUACUAUCAACGAGAUGUAGGUAUUUGAUUUUAAUGUAAACUAAAUUAAAUACUUGUGCAUAUUA